rnacentral:rRNA from 1 species
UACGGGGGGAGCAAGCGUUGUUCGGAUUUACUGGGCGUAAAGGGCGCGUAGGCGGCCACCGCAAGUCGACUGUGAAAUUUCGGGGCUCAACCCCGAACUUGCAGUGGGUACGGGCAGACUAGAGUGUGGUAGGGGAGACUGGAAUUCCUGGUGUAGCGGUGAAAUGCGCAGAUAUCAGGAGGAACACCGAUGGCGAAGGCAGGUCUCUGGGCCAUAACUGACGCUGAGAAGCGAAAGCAUGGGGAGCGAACAGG